UCUGAUAUAAUAACUGUUGGUUUAUUUAUCGGUGGAGCAGCAGAACAUUUUCCACAGACAGUUUUCCUGCCCGUUGGCUUGCUUUAACCAGUUUUCUACCUUCGGCUGAUUCUACCAGCAGACACUGAAAGGACUCUGAUAGUUCGAGUGAAAGUAGCAUUUCCUCCUUAAGGUCAGAGAUUGCAGCAUCUGAGGGCCUCUUCAAAAGAAGACGUAGUUGAUGAAGGCGUUCUGGAGCAGGACCAGAAAGACCACGACCAAGCAGCCUUGAGAUCUUAGGCAGCGUCUCCCUCAGACAUCCACCAACCACUGGAACACAUCUCCAAAGUUCUGCCGGGCCAGCUCAGCUUCCCCUCAGAAGAAGUUCCGCCAGAUGAAGGAGCCUUUUGAGAGGCAGCUGGCAUCGUGAUUGGACUGUACUUUGGUCUGUUCCAAUCCAGCUUCAGCUCCAGAGACGGCAGGCGGGACGAGUCAACGGAGGCCGGGUGGACGAAGGCAUGCAGCUGAGUACAAUCCAGAAAACAACAGAGGAGGAGUGCAGCAGCCCAGGGCCAGAACAAACAGAGUAGCAUCGUAUGUCUCUUAGAAAACAUCAUAGUAUAGCCUUUGGUAUGAAAAAAACGCCAUCAUAUACAUCGUAUAUUGUACAAAUAACAAGUCAAAGGAAAGAGACAGACAUUGUAGAAUUGUAGUAAUUGUGGGCUGACUGAUUUACUGAUUAUCAGUAUUUUAUUUUUUACUGAUUUACGGUAAUAAAUACAUUUAAAAAUGGCGCUA